UCCUCUUCUCUUUGUAUCUAACUCCAAAGGCUCUUCUUAAAUGCCCCCAAAUUCCACACACUCAUUCCUCCACACCUACAACAUUAUCUCAAUUUAAGAUGUCUGAUUCCCAUCACUCAUCUGAUAAUACAUCUGAGGAUACAUCAAAGAAGCAGAGUCCUAAAUUCCAGGAUGAUGAGUUCUCAGAGGAAGAAGAGUCUCUCAUCAUAAGAAUGUAUAAUUUACUUGGUGACAGGUGGUCUCUGAUUGCUGGCAGAAUCCCAGGAAGAACUGCUGAAGAGAUUGAGAGAUAUUGGAAGUCCAGGUGUUCAACAAAUUAGUGACAUAUUUGAGAGUGGGAUUCAAUUCAUUCAAAUUUUGUAUACACUCUCUUGCUUGCUCUUGUUUCUGCUUUCAAUAAAUAUGUAUACUUAAUUAUUAUUGUACUUUUUUUUUUUAUAAAUUCUCUUUAUUAGUAUAAAUAUAUAUAUAUGUAGGGGGUAAAUACCAACUGCAUAUUACUAUUUUUUACA